CUUGAAUUUUACAACCCCCCCCUAGGGGGUCAUGAUUUGAACAAACUUGAAUCUACACUACCUGAGGAUGAUUCCCAAUAAAUAUAACGAAGCCUGGCUUUGAAGUACUUGAAAAGAAGAUUUUAAAAGAUUUUUCCUAUAUAUUCCUUUGUAAAACCUAGAUCGGCCAUUUUGGCCCCACCCAACCCCCGGGGGUCAUGAUUUGAACAAACUUGAAUCUACACUACCUGAGGAUGAUUCCACAUGCGUUUCAUCUUUCCUGGCCCAGUGGUUCUUGAGAAGAAGAUUUUUAAAGAUUUUCCCUAUAUAUUCCUAUGUAAAACUUUGAUCGGCCAUUUUGGCCCCACCCUACCCCCGGGGGUCAUGAUUUGAACAAACUUGAA